GCGCAUUGACAGAAACCUCUUCAAAAGACCCCUCGUCAGUAUCACAGAGGGGCAACAGUCUGAUUUCACCACCCGGCAAAGUUUCACAGUGUGCGUAGCCGGUGUGGUUCUCAACUCCCUCGUAAAAUGGGAGGUUUAUAUGAUCUCCAUCCUUGUCCAUUUCCAUAGGAGGAGGAGGAGUGUUCGAUCUGUCCUCGCGGCU
rnacentral:lncRNA from 1 species